rnacentral:rRNA from 1 species
AACGAACGCUGGCGGCAUGCCUAACACAUGCAAGUCGAACGAGACCUUCGGGUCUAGUGGCGCACGGGUGCGUAACGCGUGGGAAUCUACCCUUGGGUUCGGAAUAACAGUUAGAAAUGACUGCUAAUACCGGAUGAUGACGUAAGUCCAAAGAUUUAUCGCCCAAGGAUGAGCCCGCGUAAGAUUAGCUUGUUGGUGGGGUAAUGGCCUACCAAGGCGACGAUCUUCAGCUGGUCUGAGAGGAUGAUCAGCCACACUGGGACUGAGACACGGCCCAGAGUCCGACGGGAGGCAGCUGUCGGGAAUAUUGAACAGUUGGCGAAAGCCUGAUCCAGCGAUGCCGCGUGAGUGAUGAAGGCCUUAGGGUUGUAAAGCGCUUUUACCAGGGAGGAUAAUGACAGUACCUGGAGAACAAGCUCCGGCUAACUCCGUGCCAGCCGCCGCAGUAA